ACGUGAGCGGCAGCGGAUUACCCCACGC
rnacentral:sRNA from 1 species